GACGAACGCUGGCGGCGUGCUUAACACAUGCAAGUCGAACGGAAAGGCCCUGCUUUUUUGAGGUGCUCGAGUGGCGAACGGGUGAGUAACACGUGAGUAACCUGCCCUUGACUUUGGGAUAACUUCGGGAAACUGGGGCUAAUACCGGAUAGGAGCUCCUGCUGCAUGGUGGGGGUUGGAAAGUUUCGGCGGUUGGGGAUGGACUCGCGGCUUAUCAGCUUGUUGGUGGGGUAGUGGCUUACCAAGGCUUUGACGGGUAGCCGGCCUGAGAGGGUGACCGGCGACAUUGGGACUACGAGACGGCCCAGACUCGUACGGGAGGCAGCAGGGGCGAAUAUGGCACAAUGAGCGGAAGCCUGAUGCAGCAACGCCGCGUGCGGGAUGACGGCCUUCGGGUUGUAAACCGCUUUCGCCUGUGACGAAGCGUGAGUGACGGUAAUGGGUAAAGAAGCACCGGCUAACUACGUG
rnacentral:rRNA from 1 species